ACGAACGCUGGCGGCGUGCUUAACACAUGCAAGUCGAACGGUGAAGGGGCCUGCUUUUGUGGGCCCUGGAUGAGUGGCGAACGGGUGAGUAACACGUGAGUAACCUGCCCCCUUCUUCUGGAUAACCGCAUGAAAGUGUGGCUAAUACGGGAUAUUCUGGGUCUGUCGCAUGAUGGGUCUGGGAAAGAUUGCGCCUUUGGGUGUUUUUGGUGGGGGAUGGGCUCGCGGCCUAUCAGCUUGUUGGUGGGGUGAUGGCCUACCAAGGCGGUGACGGGUAGCCGGCCUGAGAGGGUGGACGGUCACACUGGGACUGAGACACGGCCCAGACUCCUACGGGAGGCAGCAGUGGGGAAUAUUGCACAAUGGGCGCAAGCCUGAUGCAGCGACGCCGCGUGAGGGAUGGAGGCCUUCGGGGUGUAAACCUCUUUCGCCAGUGAAGCAGGCCUGCUCCUUGUGGGUGGGUUGACGGUAGCUGGAGAAGAAGCGCCGGCUAACUACGUG
rnacentral:rRNA from 1 species